AUUCCUGGGGUGUUCGACAAUCUCUGUGUUUUGAACCUACAUUUACUUUAAACGGGAUUCCUAUAUCGCGCAGCGUAUGCCAGGCCUCCGUUCGCAGUGGAAGGCAGAAACUGUUGCUGCGGUUACCCACCUAGCUUUGCUAGGAGUCAAAAAUGGGGAAACGGCACUCUGGGGUAU
rnacentral:other from 1 species